ensembl:lncRNA
CAAGUACACACCCAUUUUACUUGUCUGGUGGUGAACCCUACGAAGCCAGUUGCUGCUCAACCCGUUUUUCCUGGAAGAGCUUUUCAAUGGAAGUAGUGAUUGUCCUUGACGCGGUGAACAAUGCCAGCUUAUUCUUCCUCUGGGAGGAACAAUAAGCAAUUGAUGUCUCCAAGAAAGACGAUGGCUGGAGGGUGUCUCAAGUCUUAAGAAUCAGGACUGAGAGGGCUUUCCAGAGUCGCCGACUAAUGGGGCCGAGAGAAAGAGAGAAGACAGAAGAAAUAGCAGGCUGUGUUUCUGGGGAUGCUAGGUCGUCUGUGGACGUGCCACAGGUAGUGAGCCUGCCGAUGUUCUUUGGUGGGGAAAUUCUGCUCGGUAACCCGUCGUCACAGCAGAGGCCCUGCGCAGUGAUUGGAGGAGAGCCUUUGCCUGGAGGGAGGCUCGUUCUAUGACUGUGGUGCAUUUUUUAUCGCCGCCCCCACCUCCCCCCGUCCCCCUUUCCCAAGCCAGACUAAACAGAGCUAGUGCUUUGAAGAAAGCCGCUGUUGCAGAAUAACAGCGGCUCAUUUCUUCCUCUGUCUCCCUCUCCCUUUGCCACUUCUCACCUCUCUGUUGUCCGACUUCUAUUGUCUCUUCCUUGGCUCUCAUUUUUCUCAGUCUCUCUUUGUCUUGCUAUCUGCCAUCACAUCUUCCGUCCUGUCUCUCUCCAUAUCUCUCUUUCUCCCUCCCUAUUCCAUUUGGGUGUCCUCGGGUCUCGUCCAGCAGAGACUUUUAUAGAAUUACAAGUUGUGGGGGGGUGUAAUUUAAUCUCGGCAAGGGGCGGGGGGGGGGUGGAGUAAAGAGGGCAUGAAAGUAUAAAAUACAGAUGAUAGCGUGAUAGAGAGGGAUAGAGAUGAGGGACGACGAGGAAAAAAAAGGUAGGAAUCCCCAAUUAAGGCUGGAAUGCCAGUCCAACUGCUGGGGUUUAUCCUGGUAGACACUAAAACCUUGUUGUUGACCAUCACAGUGCUUGGAAGCUUUGCUUUGAUGCAGAGGACAACUACAUGUCAAAUGAAACCCUUCAACUGAUAUUAAAACAGAAUUGAUUAUGUCUGCGUACAGUAUGAAUCAACAAGAUGCUGAAUGAUCUUCAAAAGCUGAUAUGCCUGCGCACAGACCUGGACAUCAGUCGUCUUGUAGGUUUCAGCACAAUACUUCCAGAAUCUCUUCACCUGUCUGGGAGUCACUUUUGUCCAUGCCCUGAUGAGCCCUUAUAUUAUUUAGGUGUGGCUCCUCAGGGCUUUUGACUUGGGCUGCAUUCAGCAUCCCAACUCUUCUCCUCUAGGGCACCUUCCAAGCACAGUGGCACGUCGUUGAUGUCGGUUGGUGCAUGUUGAGGGUUGGUACAUGUUGAGGGUUGGUGCAUGUUGAGGGUUGGUGCACCCACCAAUUUAAAAUGUACACUCACUGGCCACUUUAUUAGGUUUAUCUGCUUGUUAAGUCAAAUAGCCAAAAAGUGAGACAGCUGACUGUUACUCAAUAUAAGGCAUGCAGACAUGGUCAAGAAGUUUUUAUUUGAACAAACAAAGUUGCGCGACAACAGAGACUUUGACUGUGGGAUGACCAUUAUGGUUCCAGCAUCUCAGAAACAGCAAACAUUUUCUUGCAAUACAGACUGUAGAGUUCACAGAGUGCAAUAAAAAAACAUCUAGUGAAGGGCAGUUCUGUGUGUGAUAACACCUUGUUAUUGAAAGAGGUCAGAGAAGAAUGGCCAGAAUUGUUCAAGCGGACACAAAGGCCAAAAAUACUCAAAUAACCUCUCUUUAUAACAGUGUUGUGCAGAAUGGCAUCCCUGAACACAUGACACGUCAAACCUUGAAAAGCAUGGAGGCGAACAUUUCCUGAUACCAAAGAGGCAUACCUAAAGACGUGUCCAGUGAGGAUUUAAUCUGCCUUCCGGAGUUACACAAUUGGACUGACAAUGAUCCCAACCAUGUACCAAAUAUUAACAAUAAAACAUUUUCUCUCAUCCA